ensembl:lncRNA
CGGGUGUUGACACAGUCGCCCAUCUGAGUUGAAUGGUCAUUCGCGUCGCCUGGUAGAAAGUGUUCCUGGACAGAAUAACCUUUCCUCUGCUUUUUGGUUAUGAUCAAAUAUGUUCUAAAAUGUUUUGGGUGGAAAACAAAGAGCUAUCUUGCAUUAACGGUAUGAAAACUACGUUGGUAAUCGCCAUUAUUGACCGGUGACCUGUGGCAUGCGCCAUGUUGUGUACUGUCACUAUGGGACUGACCCCUAUGACAUCCCAGCACUCCUGCGUUGUAGAGGUCAUGUCUCCAGUCGUGAUUAACAUAGUCGAAGCGCUGUUUUUGAUUGGGCAUCAUAAACAAAUGAAGACUUGGAUUAUCCAAUGCGUAAUGGUGACAGAUUUGGUCCAAAUAUACCAGGCGAGACGUUAGCUAAAGUCAGCCGUAUGAUUCUAGUGAUUACUUUUUUGGAUAUUUAUGGAAAUGUACACUAUGUGAUCAGUCAGCAGUGGCCAAUUGGUUCCACUCUAAUAUUUCUCUCACGCAGGCUGUUAUCCCCAUAGGGACACAAAAUAUGUACAGGACUGAGAAUACCUAGAUAUUAGCAAAAAUCAGCCAUAUGAUUCUAGUAAUAACUUUUUAUGGAAAUGUAUACAUACGCGCUUAGUCAGCAGUGGUCAGGUUUGGUGAGAACUUACAUUCGCCUCAUACAGGCCGUGAUCCCCAUAGGAACUCAUACUGUGUAGGGAUGGCUUCACGAACAGUGGGGAUUUCUUUAAGAUUGCAAGGGAAGCUCGGCUUCCCCUAUAAUGUCCAAAAAAAUUAUGGUCAAAUAUGCACUAUUGUGUAAAUAUUUUAAUGACAAAAAAUGUGUUAUAACACGUUCAUCUUUAAAACUAGUUAGUUCAGAAUCAGCUACAGGUCGGCUGACUCGAUUUUCUUCUCAUACAAUCCCGCAGCGUCACAGUGCAUUUCCCUGUUGAAGCCGAGCGUCCAUUGACUUCAAUGGGGCUGCUUAGAACAGUUUUUUUCAGUGCUCCGAAAGUAGACAGUGAUUGGAUAAAUGCUGCGAUUAUGUCCUGCCCAUGGACACUCAGCGUCUCUGGGUGUGAAUGAGGAGUGGGCUUCCGCGUGAUAAUUGGAGGAUCUGACGGUCUGUCAAACUGCAUCUCCUUUUGACUGAUAGCGGUCUGUACUACACUCAACUAAAGGAUUAUUAGAAACCCCAUACUAAUACUGUUUGACCCCCUUUCGCCUUCAGAACUGCCUUAAUUCUACGUGGCAUUGAUUCAACAAAGUGCUGAAAGCAUUCUUUAGAAAUGUUGGCCCAUAUUGAUAGGAUAGCAUCUUGCAGUUGAUGGAGAUUUGUGGGAUGCACAUCCAGGGCACGAAGCUCCCGUUCCACCACAUCCCAAAGAUGCUCUAUUGGGUUGAGAUCUGCUGACUGUGGGGGCCAUUUCAGUACAGUGAACUCAUUGUCAUGUUCAAGAAACCAAUUUGAAAUGAUUCGAGCUUUAUGACAUGGUGCAUUAUCCUGCUGGAAGUAGCCAUCAGAGGAUGGGUACAUGGUGGUCAUAAAGGGAUGGACAUGGUCAGAAACAAUGCUCAGGUAGGCCGUGGCAUUUAAACAAUGCCCAAUUGGCAUUAAGGGGCCAAGAAAACAUCCCCCACACCCUUACACCACCACCAGCCUGCACAGUGGUAAAAAGGCAUGAUGGAUCCAUGUUCUCAUUCUGUUUACGCCAAAUUCUGACUAUACCAUCUGAAUGUCUCAACCGAAAUCGAGACUCAUCAGACCAGGCAACAUUCUUCCAGUUUUGGUGAGCUUGUGCAAAUUGUAGCCUCUUUUUCCUAUUUGUAGUGGAGAUGAGUGGUACCCGGUGGGGUCUUCUGCUGUUGUAGCCCAUCCGCCUCAAGGUUGUGCGUGUUGUGGCUUCACAAAUGCUUUGCUGCAUACCUCGGUUGUAACGAGUGGUUAUUUCAGUCAAAGUUGCUCUUCUAUCAGCUUGAAUCAGUCAGCCCAUUCUCCUCUGACCUCUAGCAUCAACAAGGCAUUUUCGCCCACAGGACUGCCGCAUACUGGAUGUUUUUCCCUUGUCACACCAUUCUUUGUAAACCCUAGAAAUGGUUGUGCGUGAAAAUCCCAGUAACUGAGCAGAUUGUGAAAUACUCCGACCGGCCCGUCUGGCACCAACAACCAUGCCACACUCAAAAUUGCUUAAAUCACCUUCCUUUCCCAUUCUGACAUUCAGUUUGGAGUUCAGGAGAUUGUCUUGACCAGGACCACACCCCUAAAUGCAUUGAAGCAACUGCCAUGUGAUUGGUUGAUUAGAUAAUUGCAUUAAUGAGAAAUUUAACAGGUGUUUCUAAUAAUAAUUUAGGUGAGUGUAUAAGAAGUCACUGAAGCUGUUUUGAGCUCAGACCCAUCGCGGAUUUCUCAAAUGUAUUCGAAAAGACAAACUGCUGCAAUAUUUCUUGAUAUUUGUUUGGCGAAAUUGCUAGCCGAUUUGCAUCAUACAUUUCACACAAUUAUAGGCUACACCACAAUCCUUGUAUAAGUUUCACAAAGUUUAAUAUAUUUUUUUGUUAAUUCAUUCAUAAAUGGGUCUUUUAUGAAGUGAAAUAUAUGUAAAAUGCAUUUUUGUAAAAAACCUAUUUAAAUAAAUAUUUAUGUAUUCAUAGAAAUGUUUAAGAUAUCAUAAAUCCUCCAAAAACUGCACAAAUGUUAAGUAAAAAAUUAAUAAACAGAGUAAAUUUAAAUUUGUAAAAAAAAAAAUAUAUAUAUUGUUCUGUUAAAAAAUGUUAUGCCAUUGUCUUGGGUCCAAAAGACCCCAAAGACCCCGAGUGUCACUACAAAUGAAGACCAUCAGAGGGUUAUUGUCAUGGUGCGGUUAGCAGCAGCGCCACCGUGCCAUAUAUUCUCAAGUUCCCAUAUCACACGAACACAUCCCGGACUGUCACAUGUCUCCAAUCUUUCACACCAGGUCCCAAUUGACAUCAUUUGUAUGUGUAUAAAUGUUUCCCCUCUGCUCCCCACAUUGUGGAUCAUUGUUGUUGUUUUGCCUGUUCGUGUGUUGGUGAGUGGUGUUGAUGUACUGUUUGAAUGUUAGCUGUUAAGACGCGUUGUUCCGCACUUUAUUUUCAUUCGGUAGAUUAGUUAUCGUUUUCCGUUCGUGUUUGGUUUGUUUGUUGUUUAUUAAAACCCACGAACUGAUAUAUGCCAGCGCCUGGUUCAUUGCCAACACUACACCACAAGAACAUCGUUACAGUUAUAAUGUAGGCCGAAAAUGAGCUUCCACUCUUUGAAAGACCAGCAGCCGCCACUGUUCACGAAUAUGCCUAGAUAGUAUCUAUAAAAAAGAAAAAUUGUCCCUCCUUCAUAACUUGACAUCAGCCAAGAUGAAGUAAAAGAUGACUGGGCUCAAGUAAAUAACUUACACAUGGUGGAUGUUUUAGGUCUAUACCUCAUAUUCAUGUUCUCAACACAACAUCAACACAACAGUUUUUUAUGUUAUGCAGGCACUGAAUUGAAGAGAUGUUGAUGUUGUAAUGCCGAAGAUGAUGAGGUUAAAUAAUGAUGAAAAGUACCUUAAAAGGCCUUGACUAUAAACACAACAUUAAUCUUAUAUUACUGAAUUCAUUCUGUUGGAUAAUGUCUUACUACCCAUGCUCAGAAGGAGUUUCAUUCUUGGGAACCCAGCCUGGUUGGCUUCAGUAACCAUAGAGGUCCAGGAUUCCUGAAUGUGAAGUGGUGUACUACUGAGAUCCACAUUACAGCAUGAUGAAAACUAGUCCACCAAGCAGGAUCAGCAGAGCUGUGAAGAAUGAGAGAGACAUUAGAGAUGAAUGGACCCUAUUAUAUAUUACUGAAAAUAAUAUUAAAUAUUUUCUAUGGUAUAUUGAAUGAUAUGAAACUAUACACUUUGGUAAUAACGCAUUCAUUAUUUAUCUUCAUCUAAUUGUGUAAAUGCUCAAAACGUAAUACCUGUAUUGCUAAAAAUAAUCAUAUACAAUAUUCAAUAAAUACUUAUUAAGUGCUUCUAAGUUAUCAUUUCAGCAGUACUUCCUAUUUGGUUUUGUUACCUUGAGACAGGGUGCGUUGUAGACAAAAAGCGUGGUUAGCUGUGGUGGUUGGUGAGGCUGUUGUAGAACUGUUGCUGUUGUUCGCAUUGGGUUUGGACAGGUCCACGGCUUCAGUGCUUGUAAAUAUAGCAUUAGGACUACCUAGCACCCCUGAAGGAGGAGAGAAAUAGAGGGUUCAAGAAAGACACACAGAAGGGAUGCAUCGUCCACAGAGGGUUUGGAGGCAUGAAGCAGCUCUUAGGUGCUGAUGUUGGUUAAAUUGAGCAUUUCCAUAACUAAUGGAUAAGGUUAGGAUUGGACGAGGGGAAGCUGAUCUUAGAUCUGUUCUUUGGAUUGUGUACUUCACCAUUAGACACGGUCCCGUUGUAGAUGGAAAUGAAAAAGGAGGUACUGCUGCUCUUGGUGGAAGUAGCAUCGGGGACUGUAGCAGAGAACAUGCACUGGAUGGUCUGACCACUGACUGAGCCAGUCACCAGGUUAGAGGGCAGCUACAGGAAACAAGGAUAAAAACAUUAUUAGAGAAACAUCAGUAAAGAUUAACUAAACAUUUUGUCAGAUAUACUUUAAUUCACCAGGCCCAUAUACCAAAUGGACCACAAGUGUGUAAUCAGAGAUUAACCUUGCUAAUUAGUAUCAAAGUAAGGAUCAAUUAACAUUAACAUUGAAAUUCAAGUCCAUUUUUCAUCUUAAGCAUGUUCACAAUUUUGCAUGUCUUGUUGAGUUUAUCAGCCCCAAACAAGAAAAACAUGAAAAGUCUAAUAAUUCUGGCUGAUGGGCCAAACCCACCGUGUUGUUCGGAGUCAGAGUUCCGUUGUUGUAAAGAUUGGAAGAGAAAUUAACGUUGUUGUUGAUGUUAGCACACACAUAGACAGAGUCAUUUUGUCCCUACAGAGAGAGAGGAUGAAUAUAUAAAAAUAUACAAUAACGAGAAGGUUUUAUAUUAAUAAAAAUAUUGGAAUGUGUACAUUUUGGGGAUUAUUAUUUUAUUCAAAAAUGAAAUGUAGAAUUUUAUAGAAAGUAAGUUUCUAGAAAAUCAACACUAAUAUCUAGUCAGUUUUCAUACCGUUGUAUUGGUUCUGGACAACCCUACAGCGACGUAGCCACUGGAUUGUCCUUGAAGCUGGAAGGAAAUGUUCUGUCCCGAGAUUAAACUGGUUGAGACGAAGAAACAGGAUCCAGACACAGAUGGGUCACAGCCUGCUGGCUGAGCAGCACAGAACUGUGAGGUUCCACAAUUUGCCCUUGAGAUGUUUAGCUGUGUGUAAAGAGUUCCUUAUUAGUGGGUCUGGUGUUUGGUAUUUAUUUGACCUAAAAAGGCAACCUGCAAGUGGUUAAUGUAAUGCUUUACUUUUAAAUAUAUCAUUUUAUAUAUAGAAGGACAUAACAUCCCAACAACCCAGAAGUUAAUUGUACCUUUGCUGCCCCAUAUAGAAUUCAGUAUACUCUAUAAGCUUGUUUCUUACUUUUUACCUACCAUGUAAAACUUUAACAUGACAUUUGAGAGUAGCUAUUAUUUGGCAAGUAUCAUUUUGUACAAUUAGCGUAAUAUAGUACAUUUAAAGUAUUGUAUUAUAUGUCACUACAUAUAAUACCUGCUUUGAUAACAUCAUUACAAUACAGCAGGUAUACUGUAUUUUAAAAUACAGACUAACUAUUUGCCCAAGCUGUCUGCAAGCUACUGUAGAAGUCACUUUUACCCAUUUGGGAGUUAUUACAUAAUUUUAACUCAAAACAGCUGCUCUAUGGCUUAACCCAUUUCCUUUUUCCAUUUGACUUUGUGAGGCUUAUUGUUGAGAUCUUUUAAAUGUCUGCGAGGCCAAGUGGGACGUGUAGCCUAGGUAACUUACUGAAAGAGUUGUAUUUGUUGUAUUUGGAGCUGUUGUGGGGAUCUGUGCCUCAGCUCUCAUUCCCAUGCACGCCAUUACCAUGACGACUGCGAACACAACUCUGCUUCGAUUGUCCAUUGCUGUUACAGUAAUGUAGAUACAUAAUGUUACGAUAAAAUUAUAAUAACAACCAAUUUUAAGAUAUGGUAAGCCAUCAUGGCUUAUACUGCAUUUUAAGGCUUCCAAAUGAUGAUGCAUUUUAUUCAUGAGUUUGGAUGAAGACAAUAAUAUGAAAAAAAUUAAAUAAACACAGGCCUACCAUUAUUGUGGCGAUUGGUAAUUAAGUAUUAUGGUGGUGUAUUAGAAUACAACAAGCACUGAAUUGUGAACUCACUAAUUUUAUACUGUUGUUAUUACAUUAUUAAUAACUAGGUACCUUAUUUAAAUUCCAUAAUAUCAACAAUAUCAACAGGGAGGAAAUUAUUAGGAUACAGCUAGUCAGCAAAUAAUACCCAUUAAAUAAAAUCCAUCAUUAUGCCAGUACUGAAAUUGCCUUCCAGUAUUGAAAUAAAUAAAUAUACAUUUAAAAAUAAAGAGUUUGUAUUUGUUUAGAUAACAUAGCUGGUAAAUGUACCUGUAAUUUUGGAUCUCAGAAGAACACGAAGUAAAAAAAUAUGUUGCUGUUCUCCUUGAACAAGUGGUUGUCACAGUCUGACUAAUGGAUGGCACAGGUGCGUUCAAGAAGUAGAUACUCUUCUCCCAACUAAGCUUGCUCUCUAUUUAAAACAGAACUCGUGAAAGGAGGAGGGACAAAGGAUGAAGAAAGCCUGCCUCACUCCUUUUACAUGCAGUUAUUUUGUUAUGAUGUGUGACAUCAUAACAAAAAACACUGUAUGUAGGUGUAAAU